AGCACGUAAACCUUAGCUAGAACCUCCCCAUUUCUCCCAUAAAAAUCACAGAAAACCCUAACGCAAGCAGCCUGGAAGGAGGAUGAGCACUGUCAUAACCACCUUCUCCCAUCCAUGACUAUAACAGUCUUCUGCUUAUCUAUAUCUCGGCCUGAAACCAACCCCUGGUUCCAGCCGUAAAGAACCACACAAAGCACCAUUGCCUCCCCUGUUCCAGCUGAAAGAAAAGCCAACACCUUACACUACACCAGCACCCAACACUUUACCAGUAGACCCCAAGCUAUUCACCACCAUUUUUUCCCACGACACCUCACAGACCCUCUUCUCACACCCGAAACCAAUUAUAUCCAGUCUCAAGACUGAAACCACCACAAAUUUAACCGUCAGCCAUACAAAGGAAAGAAGCAAAAUAAUUAACCCUCAUCGCCACCAGCCAUCCUCCAGAAUCAACCGACAGCUUCAAAGACCAACCAACAGCAUGACCAAGGCCAACCAUCGUGAGUGGUAGCAUUCCUCUCUGCAUCAUUCGUUGAUUCCACUAUCCUCAGCUCCUCUAUGAUCCGUAACAGCCAUGGCAGAACUGGUUUUGGCUGAGGAGUCAUGACGGCAACACCAAUAGCGUCUAUGUAUUCUUUUUGUUCACGACAACCACUACAACUAAGCAACGUUCACACCUUCUCCUCCCCCGUUCAUAGUAUCUGCAGCGCAUAAACAGCUACAUCUUCGGCCAAAGAACAAGAACCACAACAUCGACAGCACCUCCUCUAUUAGAAAGGACAGCCACUUUUCCAGCAGCAGCACCGUAGGUUCCUUCCAGCCGUACCAGUAGUUUCCAGCAACAGUACCAUAAGCUCCUCAAAUCAUGAACCACAGCAGCAUCAGAAGUUUUGCUUCUCAUUCCAAGCUGAAAGCAGCAAAUAUUGUCCUCCCACGUUGCCAGUAAAAGGAUCUUGUUGCAAGGAAGAUCAAGUAUUGUUAGCACCAGCAGUAAAUACUCCAGCCCAGGUCUAGUGAAGAAUUGAAGAUGUAGGAGCAUAAACACUAAGUGCCCGUUUGGCAUUGCGGCAGCGACAGGAAGCAAACAUUGAAUUAAAGUGUUUGGUUAAUACAAACUACACUUUUUUUCACAUGGGUCCCACUCAAAAACUGAGGUCGAACCUCAGUUUAUGAAAAGAAAAUUUUAUUUGCUUCUCCUUCUCUUCUGCGUGGAGAGUGACUCCACUGUUCACUUGAACAGUAGAGAAUGUCUCCACUGUUCACGUGAAAAGUGAAGAUUGUCUCAACAGUUCCGGCCGGACCGGGUCCA